rnacentral:rRNA from 1 species
AGUGAACGCUGGCGGUAGGCCUAACACAUGCCAGUCGAACGGCAGCACAGUAAGAGUUUGCUCUUACGGGUGGCGAGUGGCGGACGGGUGAGGAAUACAUCGGAAUCUACUUUUUCGUGGGGGAUAACGUAGGGAAACUUACGCUAAUACCGCAUACGACCUACGGGUGAAAGCAGGGGAUCUUCGGACCUUGCGCGAUUGAAUGAGCCGAUGUCGGAUUAGCUAGUUGGCGGGGUAAAGGCCCACCAAGGCGACGAUCCGUAGCUGGUCUGAGAGGAUGAUCAGCCACACUGGAACUGAGACACGGUCCAGACUCCUACGGGAGGCAGCAGUGGGGAAUAUUGGACAAUGGGCGCAAGCCUGAUCCAGCCAUACCGCGUGGGUGAAGAAGGCCUUCGGGUUGUAAAGCCCUUUUGUUGGGAAAGAAAAGCAGCAGGUUAAUACCCCGCUGUUCUGACGGUACCCAAAGAAUAAGCACCGGCUAACUUCGUG